rnacentral:rRNA from 1 species
AUGGUGGCUGCGUCAUCGACUAGGACGACAUCCUCUACCACCUCUCCGACAUCGACACCAUCUUCAGCAAGUACAUCGUCGCCGCGGGCAAGAUCGUCAAGGCCGCGCCCAGGACCCGUGCCAUCUCAAAGGCGCGCGUCCACGAGCUCCUGGGGGCCUACGACGGGCUGGUGGCCCUGCAAGUACCUGUGGAUGGGGAAUGCAAGCUCCAGUACCGCGCUCGUCGUCAUCACCGCGCACGCCGUCAGUUCGGCCUUCUUCCCCUUCUUCGCUUCUUCGGGACGCCGCUCAAGCGCAAGAACCGCAAGGGCAAGGGGCGCCGCGGCAAGGGGCGCAAGGGCAAGGGGCGCCGCGGCAAGGGGCGCAAGGGCAAGAAGGAGAACAAGAAGAAGGCGUUCGUCUCCGUCGUCCGUGGCCUCGCACAGCGCAUGCGCUCCCUCGCGCUCAAGCUGCUCCACGCCCAGGAGUUCAACACCGCCCUCGCCAAGAUCAUGCGCUCCCUCCUCUUCGACAUGA